GAUGAACGCUGGCGGCGUGCCUAAUACAUGCAAGUCGAGCGAACGGACGAGAAGUUUGCUCCCCGGAUGUUUGCGGCGGACGUGAGAGUAACAUGUGGAUAACCUACGUAUAAGACGGGGAAAAAUUCGGGAAACCGGAGAUUAUACCGGAUGAUAUUUUGAACCGUAUGGUUCAAAAGUGAAAGACGGUCUUGCUGUUACUUAUAGAUGGUUCCGCGCUGCAUUAGCUAGUUGGUAAGGUAACGGCUUACCAAGGCAAUGAUGCAUAGCCGACCUGAGAGGGUGAUCGGCCACACUGGAACUGAGCCACGGCCCAGACUCCUACGGGAGGCAGCAGUAGGGAAUCUUGCGCAAUGGGCGAAGGCCUGACGGGGCAAGGCCGCGUGAGGGAUGAAGGUCUUCGGUUCGUAAAACUCUGUUAAUAGGGAGGACCAUAUGUGUAGUGAAAUGUGCACACUGUGACGGUACCUAAUCAGAAAGCCACGGCUAACUACGUG
rnacentral:rRNA from 1 species